rnacentral:rRNA from 1 species
AGAGUUUGAUCCUGGCUCAGGACGAACGCUGGCGGCGCGCCUAACACAUGCAAGUCGAACGAGCGAGAGAGAGCUUGCUUUCUCAAGCGAGUGGCGAACGGGUGAGUAACGCGUGAGGAACCUGCCUCAAAGAGGGGGACAACAGUUGGAAACGACUGCUAAUACCGCAUAAGCCCACGACCCGGCAUCGGGUAGAGGGAAAAGGAGCAAUCCGCUUUGAGAUGGCCUCGCGUCCGAUUAGCUAGUUGGUGAGGUAACGGCCCACCAAGGCGACGAUCGGUAGCCGGACUGAGAGGUUGAACGGCCACAUUGGGACUGAGACACGGCCCAGACUCCUACGGGAGGCAGCAGUGGGGAAUAUUGCACAAUGGGGGAAACCCUGAUGCAGCGACGCCGCGUGGAGGAAGAAGGUCUUCGGAUUGUAAACUCCUGUUGUUGAGGAAGAUAAUGACGGUACUCAACAAGGAAGUGACGGCUAACUACGUGCCAGCAGCCGCGGUAAAACGUAGGUCACAAGCGUUGUCCGGAAUUACUGGGUGUAAAGGGAGCGCAGGCGGGAAGACAAGUUGGAAGUGAAAUCCAUGGGCUCAACCCAUGAACUGCUUUCAAAACUGUUUUUCUUGAGUAGUGCAGAGGUAGGCGGAAUUCCCGGUGUAGCGGUGGAAUGCGUAGAUAUCGGGAGGAACACCAGUGGCGAAGGCGGCCUACUGGGCACCAACUGACGCUGAGGCUCGAAAGUGUGGGUAGCAAACAGGAUUAGAUACCCUGGUAGUCCACACUGUAAACGAUGAUUACUAGGUGUUGGAGGAUUGACCCCUUCAGUGCCGCAGUUAACACAAUAAGUAAUCCACCUGGGGAGUACGACCGCAAGGUUGAAACUCAAAGGAAU